UUUAUUGGAGAGUUUGAUCCUGGCUCAGGAUGAACGCUGGCGGCGUGCCUAAUACAUGCAAGUCGAGCGAACGGAUUAAGAGCUUGCUCUUAUGAAGUUAGCGGCGGACGGGUGAGUAACACGUGGGUAACCUGCCCAUAAGACUG
rnacentral:rRNA from 1 species